UUUAUGGAGAGUUUGAUCCUGGCUCAGGAUGAACGCUGGCGGCGUGCCUAAUACAUGCAAGUCGAGCGAACGGAUGAGAAGCUUGCUUCUCUGAUGUUAGCGGCGGACGGGUGAGUAACACGUGGAUAACCUACCUAUAAGACUGGGAUAACUUCGGGAAACCGGAGCUAAUACCGGAUAAUAUUUUGAACCGCAUGGUUCAAAAGUGAAAGACGGUCUUGCUGUCACUUAUAGAUGGAUCCGCGCUGCAUUAGCUAGUUGGUAAGGUAACGGCUUACCAAGGCAACGAUGCAUAGCCGACCUGAGAGGGUGAUCGGCCACACUGGAACUGAGACACGGUCCAGACUCCUACGGGAGGCAGCAGUAGGGAAUCUUCCGCAAUGGGCGAAAGCCUGACGGAGCAACGCCGCGUGAGUGAUGAAGGUCUUCGGAUCGUAAAACUCUGUUAUUAGGGAAGAACAUAUGUGUAAGUAACUGUGCACAUCUUGACGGUACCUAAUCAGAAAGCCACGGCUAACUACGUGCCAGCAGCCGCGGUAAUACGUAGGUGGCAAGCGUUAUCCGGAAUUAUUGGGCGUAAAGCGCGCGUAGGCGGUUUUUUAAGUCUGAUGUGAAAGCCCACGGCUCAACCGUGGAGGGUCAUUGGAAACUGGAAAACUUGAGUGCAGAAGAGGAAAGUGGAAUUCCAUGUGUAGCGGUGAAAUGCGCAGAGAUAUGGAGGAACACCAGUGGCGAAGGCGACUUUCUGGUCUGUAACUGACGCUGAUGUGCGAAAGCGUGGGGAUCAAACAGGAUUAGAUACCCUGGUAGUCCACGCCGUAAACGAUGAGUGCUAAGUGUUAGGGGGUUUCCGCCCCUUAGUGCUGCAGCUAACGCAUUAAGCACUCCGCCUGGGGAGUACGACCGCAAGGUUGAAACUCAAAGGAAUUGACGGGGACCCGCACAAGCGGUGGAGCAUGUGGUUUAAUUCGAAGCAACGCGAAGAA
rnacentral:rRNA from 1 species